rnacentral:lncRNA from 1 species
AUUACUGGAAGCUUACUUAGCAGGAGGGGCACUGCACUAGGUACUGGAGACGACUCCUGAAACUCCCACUUAAACAGAGGCCAGUACGGAAGAACACAUUGUAUGCUGAAUGUUAGGAAGGAGCAGUCAAGAUGACCAGGCUGGAGUGCAGUGGCGCCUCGACCUCCCCACUGCCUGGCUCAAGCAAUCCUUCCGCCUCAGCCUCUCAAGCAGCUGGGAUCCCACUGGGCUAAUGGUUUUUUUACUUUUUCUUUCUUUCUUUCUUUUUUUUUUUUUUUAAAGAGACAAGGUCUCAUUAUGUUGCCCAGGCUGGUCUCAAACUUCUGGGCUCAAGUGAUCCUCCUGCCUCAGCCUCCCAAAGUACUGGGAUUACACGUAUGAACCACUGUGCCCAUCCUAAAUUUCCUCUCCUUGUAAGGACACUGAUUAUAUUAGGUAAAGGCCCAUGCUAAUGAGCUCAUUUUAACUUAACCUCUUUAAACACCCUAUCUCCAAAUACAGUUACAUUUUGAAGUACUCGAGGUUAGGUCUUCAAUAUAUGAAUAUUUGAGAGACAGAAUUUUGCCCAUAAUAGGACUACUUUGGUUGCAGGAACAGACACCUACUGACGUUAGCCAAGCAAAAACAGGGUUUAUUAUUAUUAUUGUUAUUUUUUGAGACAGAGUUUCUCUCUUGUUGCCCAGGCUGGAGUGCAAUGGUGCGACCUCGGCUCACCACAACCUCUUCCUCCCGGGUUCAAGCGAUUCUCCUGCCUCGGCCUCCUGAAUAGC